AUGAUUUCACCCCCUGCCUCACCGAGUACUGCUGUGAUUCAGGCUGAAAGCUCUGAAGAUGAUCUUUGUCUUUUGUCGGCGGCAGCGGUUCAAGGUACAGAAGCACCCAAAGCUUUUCGGUUGUCUGAAAAAAUUGGAAACAAGGUGCUGCUCAUGCUCGUGGACUCCGGGAGCUCUCACAGCUUUGUCAACACCGAGACUGCUCAAGAUUGGGAGGGGGUGCAAGCUAUGCGUGUACCACUGAAAGUCAAGGUUGCUGAUGGGGCAGUUACACUAUGCGAUCAAGAAGUGCCUGACUGCGAAUAUGUUAUUCAAGGCCACCGAUUCAGUUCCACACUCAAGUUAUUUCCCUUGGGCAGUUAUGAUAUAGUGCUGGGUAUGGAUUGGCUCGAGUCUAGAGGCCUGAUGACCGUCAACUGGGGGGAGAAGCUAAUGACAUUUCAGCACAAGGGCGCGUACAUUUAG
rnacentral:rRNA from 1 species